rnacentral:lncRNA from 1 species
GUUCUAUUAAAAUUCAUUACGUAUUACCUUAAAACUAUCUGAAUAUUUAAAUAUUGUGUAAUCUUAUGACAUCCCACAAUUUAUUUAAAAAACAGAAUUUUUACAAAUUUUCAAAAUGUACUAAGAGAUUGCUUGAAUUUUAAUAUUUCUCUUCAGUCUCUUAAGAAUAAUCCACAUUGUAAUGUGCAUCAACCAUUGAAAAAUGGCGGAGGUUCAAACUCCAGAGGUUUCAACCUAUUAACUUUUCAACUAUUUGUUAGUAUUCUAUAAAAUAUGGAAGGACGAUCAGGAUAUUAAACUGGAGUUUGGAACAAGGUUAAUUAACCUUGCAGAUUUUUUCGGUUAAAAUUGGCCAAUAUUCAAUCUUACAAGGUUCCUCUGUAGUAACUAUACAGCAAUUUAAUUGAUUCUUCUGUGGAACUUUGGAACGUUGCGGAAACAGUACGAUAUCAGAAUUUUCUGACAUCAGUUUAAUAUUGGCAUGCAAUACUAAACAAACAAGUCUGACCUUAUGAGCUGUAUGGGGUUUUUACUUAAGGACGGGAGAAUGAACUCUGCAUGGCACUUAUGACUCAGAGACUAGUGUAUGAUAACCAGAACUCCAUUUUUAUUGCGAGAGAUUCCUUUUAUGUAUAUAAAUGUUGUGCCAUUAGACUUAAUGUCCCUGUGAUGGGAGGAUAAAUACAUUGUUGCUGUGGUUAUCAGAAGAGAUCACCAGAUUGUCUUGACUGUGUUGGAAAAACACAUGACGGUCCUUAUUUAUCAGUGUUUAGUUUGCACAACACAGAACAACAGAAUGCUCAUCAAAGAAUUAUCACACAACAACUGACCUGUUAAUAGUUUUGGAGUCUUUCGGUUUGAGAUGAGUAUAAUUCACUUUCGGAUAUCGUUGAAUGAUUGGUUGAUGAGUGGGGCCACCAACGACUAACCUUCGUUGAGAUCAGACUCCUCAUAUUUCUUCUCUCCCCUUCUCUUUCUCUCUUCUAUAGACCAAAGUAUAUAUAUUCGUGCAUUCAGUAUGCGGAUAACCGAUUUCUUAUGGUUAGGGGCAUAUUUAAUCGGGAAACUAAUGAAUGUCCUGCGUUGAUCUGACUUUUCUUUUGUCUAAUUUAGUAUCGAUGGAAAACUUGAAUAAAGUUUUACUUCCUUUGACAGAGUUUUAUUUCAUUAUCGAUAGGGAAAUAAAACUUUUUAACAGAAUUAUAACCUUAAUAGGUAAAAAUCUUGGUCCAUUCGGAUCAUAUAUAGCACAGACACAGAGGUCGGAAACGGGGUCAGAUUCUUACACUUAUAAUAAACAAUAUAAUGUACCAUUGACGAUGAUUUUUGAUAACAUGUUUUAAAUUUGAAUCUUCAUAUAAUAAUUUUUGUUUAAUAUCUUCUGUUUUAGAUAGGAAUGACUACAUUAUUUGUAAUAUUAAGCGUUUUUACGAUUUCUGCCUAAUAAUUUUUAAAACUUGCUGCUUGACUUAUCUAUAGUCGACAUUUGAUGUUAUCAGAAUAUUUUAAGUUAAUUUACCUUUAAAAACUAAAUACCAAGUGAAAG